AGGACGAACGCUUGCGACGUGCCUAAGAAAUGCAAGUCGAACGGACCAGCAGCAAUGCUGGUUAGUGGCGAACGGUCGCGUAACACGUGGGCAACCUGCCCUGAAGCGGGGGGACAACAACUCGAAAGAGUUGCUAAUACCGCAUGUGUAUCGGAAUGGCAUCAUUCAGGAUACAAAGCCGCAAGGCACUUCAGGAUGGGCCCGCGGCCUAUCAGCUUGUUGGUGAGGUAACGGCUCACCAAGGCUUCGACGGGUAGCUGGUCUGAGAGGACGAUCAGCCGGAUUGGGGACUGAGAUACGGCCCAGACUCCUACGGGGGGCAGCAAUUAGGAAUCUUGCACAAUGGGCGAAAGCCUGAUGCAGCGACGUCGCGUGAAGGAUGAAAUCUUCGGGAUGUAAACUUCUUUACAGGAAGAAAAAUGACGGUACUGGUAGAAUAGCCCGGCUAACUACGUGCCAGCAGCCGCGGU
rnacentral:rRNA from 1 species